rnacentral:rRNA from 1 species
GCAGAUUCAAUUUUCUGCCACCGAAUACAUUAGCAUGGGAUAAUGGAAUAGGACCCUGUCCUCCUAUUUUCAGUUGGUUUUGGCAGCGCGAGGACUAGGGUAAUGAUUAAUAGGGAUAGUUGGGGGCAUUAAUAUUUAAUUGUCAGAGGUGAAAUUCUUGGAUUUAUGAAAGAUUAACUUCUGCGAAAGCAUCUGCCAAGGAUGUUUUCAUUAAUCAAGAACGAAAGUUAGGGGAUCGAAGACGAUCAGAUACCGUCGUAGUCUUAACCAUAAACGAUGCCGACCAGCGAUUAGGAGACGUUGAAUACAAAACACCACCAUCGGCGCGGUCGUCCUUGGGG